rnacentral:rRNA from 1 species
GAUCCCGGCUCAGGAUGAACGCUAGCUACAGGCUUAACACAUGCAAGUCGAGGGGCAGCGGGAUUGAAGCUUGCUUCAAUUGCCGGCGACCGGCGCACGGGUGAGUAACGCGUAUCCAACCUUCCGCUUACUCGGGGAUAGCCUUUCGAAAGAAAGAUUAAUACCCGAUGGUAUCUUAAGCACGCAUGAGAUUAAGAUUAAAGAUUUAUCGGUAAGCGAUGGGGAUGCGUUCCAUUAGGCAGUUGGG